AUACAUUCCAGUAGGUGUCAGAGGGAUGAUGUCAUCAUGUCUUCAACAUCUGGAAAACUCCAAUGCACACAUGUGAGAGUCUUUGGAUACCUCAGAGGUUAAAUCUCAGCACCCAGAGGAGUGCCCAGCCACUGACCUGCACAAGAUCGAGCCAGUUUCCAUUCUAUAAUAAAACAGAAACAAGAGUUAUUGCCAGGUUAAAGAGAAAAUCAGCUGGGUAUGGUGGCUCACGCCUGUAAUCCCAGCACUUUGGGAGGCCAAUGCAGGAAGAUCACUUGAGCCCAGGAGUUCGAGACCAGCCUUAGGGAACAUAGCGAGACUCCAUCUCUACAAACAAUUUAAAAUAAUAAAGAGACAGAGAGAGAAAGAAAAAAAAAUCUUGUGUAAUUUAAAGUAAAAGACAAAACUAAACUUCCUUGUUUGUAUAGUGGUGUGAAGAAGAAGAAGAGGAAGAAGAAAAAGAGGAAGAAGAAGAAGAAGGAGGAAAAUAAAAAGACAAAACUAACAUAAAAAUUUCAGGAGCUUCUUUGUAAAAUGAACAGAAAUUCUUCAAUAGGCCUCUGGGGCUGAGAUGUAAGGAGGAGGAGGAAGAAAACGAGAGUGGGAAGGGCGCACUGGAGGACUGUUGCUAUCUGAAUCCUAUCGCCUACAAAACAUCAACUGGUCAAUCAGGCACAAGAAAGUGUUCUGCUUCUUUCUGUUACCUUAGAAAUAACCUGGACGUCAAACAUCGGUGAAAAGAAGAGAAAAAAAGAAAAAUGAAAUAACCUGGAAGCUCCUGAUGAUUUGAGAUCAGAUCUUUACAUACUAAGAGGUGGUUGCUAUAUCUGGGGGCCUUGAGUGAAAGGCAGCAGUGGGAGCCCAGCACCCAUUUCCAACAACUCCACAGCCCAGAGCCCAAACUCAGGAGUUAUGAGUUGAAUUUAUUUUGUCAAACAAAAAGAGUCAAACUCUGUAAAAUAUUGCAAGAGAUUUAUUCUGAGCCAGAUAUGAGUGCCCAAUGGCUUGUGAUACAGCCCCAGGAGAUCCUGUGAACAUGUGCCCAGGCGGUUGGGCUCCAGCUUCUUUUUAUAUUUUAUAUUUAUUGAGAUGUUUUAACUCUGCAGGCCAGAGAGAGAGACCUACCUGAGACCAGCUUGGGCAGCUGGAGGAGAAUGAGGGUGAGCAGACAUCUGGGCAAGCCGGAGUUUGGGAAAACUGCCAUCUUUGACCUUUCUGGAGCAGCAAGAUACUGGUGUGAGUCUGUCAGGAGCUUCAGCCUAGAUGAUGAAUGGACAGGAGAGAGCGAUGAGCUCUAUAGACCCGCCCAGCAGUUCUUUCCAACUUGGAGUGCUCUGGUCAUUUGCAUCUGAAUCCUGCUGUGUCUUCUCUCCAGUGGAGAUUUUCAAAGCAGGCUGCCAUCAGCACCCACUCACCACCCUAAGUUUGAAUAUGGACUUUGGAGCUGGGCAGCCCUUUUGUGACCAUGAGGCAACAUUGAAGAUGCAAGCCACAUGCUAAGACAGAAGAAAAUAAAGACAGAACUAAGCUGGGGCAUGUAUGACAUUUCAAGCUCUCAGAUCAGCCCUUGAUGGCCACCAUCCAUAUUUACUGACAUGAAAAGAAGUCCUCAUUUUGUCAAAGCCAAUGAUAUUCAGGAUGUUAUUAAUAACAAAAUACAAUUCUUCCCUCUACCCACUACAGUGUAUCAUGAAACUCUUCAAACAUAUAGGAAAGUUGAGUAUGGAAUUUCUAUCUCCAGCCUUGAGGUCUCACCUGGACUCUUGGUUAUUCAAUGGACUACUCUGCAUCUCCAUGUGCAUCUCUAAUAGACUCCUCAACCUUAAUGUAUCCACAACUGAACCUUUGGUUCUGCACCACCCCCAUCUUGCUCCUUGUCUCUCCGUUUCCCCAUCUCAGAAAUUAACAACUGCAUCUUUCCAGUUACUUUUCCCUCCUUCCUUCCUUCCUUCCUUCUUCCCUUCCUCCCUUCCUUCCUUCUCUCUAUUUUCUUAUUUGACAGAGUCUCACUCUGCCACUCAGGCUAGAGUGCAGUGGUGCACUGCAACUUCCACCUCCUGGGUUUUAGUAGAGACAGGGUUUUACCAUGUUGGCCAGGCUGGUCUCGAACUCCUGACCUUAAGUGAUCCACCUGCCUCGGCCUCCCAAAGUGCUGGGAUGAUGGGUGUGAGUCACCGCGCCCGGCCCAUCUUUCCAGUUUCUUGGGACUAAAACCAGAGAUCUACUUUUCUCCUUUGCCAUAUGAGGACACAUUUAAAAGGCUGUGAACAAGGAUGCAGGCUCUUACCAGUUACCAAACUGCUGGUGCCUUGAUCUUACAGUUCCCAGCCCCCAGAGUGCAAGAAAAAAAAUUUUGGUUGUUUAUAAACGACUCAGUCUUGGUAUAUUUGUCAUAGCUGUCUGGACAGACUAAAACACGCAGAUAAACAACCCUGUUUUCUGCCUUAACAAAUCAGGUAUUUAAAUAUAUGUUCCUGAUUCUUUGCAUAA